rnacentral:lncRNA from 10 species
GAAGAGGAUGCGCAGUGUGAUGUUGACAUUCUGUGCCAGCCGAGAGCUAUUCAGUCUGAAGGGUUCACUCUUCUGGUGGCUCCAAGAGAAGAGCCAUCUGGGCAAGAAGGCAGCAGCCAUCUGGGCAAGAAGUUCUGCAGGAGGUGGUGCAGAGCUGGCUAGUCAGGCUGUGAUUAAACUGGUGUGUGAGUGGUAAGUUCAGACAGGAGCUGUUACUGAGAUACUAAUCAUAAGGUAAGUGGCAGAGAACCAAACUGUGGGCAGAGCAGGUUCAAGUUGCUAAGCAAGCUGUCAUAGACAAGGAGGGCAGAAAACCUUAGCGAAACAUAACACCACAGAUGAAUCUAAGAUAGACCCAUUGUUCUGACACCGAGCUGGGUCAGAUGAGCCCAUUUUUACUCGAGUCAGCCUGGAGUAGCUCCAGGCUAACUGGGUAGCUCUGCUCCAAAGAAAUCUCAAUUCGUAAUAAAAGAUUGGGCCCCUCCCUGUAUCCAGGCACACAGAUUGUCAUACUCUAGCUCAGCUGGGAGAGGAAGUUUAGCCCAAUUUCCCUGCUGAUAGUUGGCAUUAAAGAAGGUGCUUUUCCAGAGUAUGGUCUGUAUUUUCUGCCUGCCUGAUCUGUGGGUGGUAGGCAAAGGUGCACAUCUACUCUGAGAUCUAUAAAGGCAGCUCUUCUGAAAAAUGGGCUGAAUUAUCAACUGCAUUCUUUCAUGAUGUGAUUAGAAAAAAACCAUGUGUAGUAGUAAUAGGAACUACCUUUGAUUUUUAAGUUCCAUGACAGAUCUUGGAAGUAUACAACAUAUAAUAUCUUAUUAAAUCUCAUAACAACCCUAUGAAAUUGAUACUAUUAAUAUUCCCAGUUUACAGAUAAAGAAAUUCGAACUUAGAUAAGUAACUUUUACAAGGGGUACAAGUGAGAAAUAGUAACAGGUCACUGUAAUGCAAAAGCCUGUGUUCUUCAUUUUUUAAGUCAACUUUAUUGAGGUAUAAUUUACAUACAAAGUAAUGCACGUAUCUUAAAUGUAUAGUUAUUUGAGUUUUGCCAAUGUAUACACCCUUGCAAAUACAAACAGAUCAAGCUAUAUAACAUUUCCUUCAUCCUCAUACCCCUUUGUAUUAGUCUUCUCUACACUGGCAACCACAGAUCUGCUUUCUGAUGCCAGAGAGUAGUUUUCCAUGUUCCAGAAUGUCAUAUGAAUAAAAUAAAAUAGUAUGUAC